rnacentral:lncRNA from 1 species
GAAAGUCUCUAACAGUCAGCAAGCUGUUUCCGAGCUAGAUGCUUGCAGACGUAGGAAAGUGGCUCUCGAAGAAAAGGUCCUCCGGCUGCAGGGUGAUUUAACUGCAAGAGAAGCCUUGGGAACUCAGGAAGCUGCACUGAAAAAUGAGCUGGCCCAAAUUAGAAGAGAAAAUAGCCAACUCCAGAGGAAGAUAAAGAAGCUUGAGGAGGAGAAAGAUGACUACCUGAAGAAAGCCCAAGGCCUUGAAGAGGAACUGAAGCAGAUAAAACAGGAUCAAAACAGCCCCAAGACUGUGAGUCUCUUCUUUAGCAUAACCCUGACCCUCGUAGGUUUAUCAUCAAUAGACAGUUCUUGUUUGGGAUUUUC